GACGAACGCUGGCGGCGUGCUUAACACAUGCAAGUCGAACGGAAAGGCCCUGCUUUUGUGGGGUGCUCGAGUGGCGAACGGGUGAGUAACACGUGAGUAACCUGCCCUUGACUUUGGGAUAACUUCAGGAAACUGGGGCUAAUACCGGAUAGGAGCUCCUGCUGCAUGGUGGGGGUUGGAAAGUUUCGGCGGUUGGGGAUGGACUCGCGGCUUAUCAGCUUGUUGGUGGGGUAGUGGCUUACCAAGGCUUUGACGGGUAGCCGGCCUGAGGGGGUGACCGGCCACAUUGGGACUGAGAUACGGCCCAGACUCCUACGGGAGGCAGCAGUGGGGAAUAUUGCACAAUGGGCGGAAGCCUGAUGCAGCAACGCCGCGUGCGGGAUGACGGCCUUCGGGUUGUAAACCGCUUUCGCCUGUGACGAAGCGUGAGUGACGGUAAUGGGUAAAGAAGCACCGGCUAACUACGUGCCAGCAGCCGCGGUGAUACGUAGGGUGCGAGCGUUGUCCAGAUUUAUUGGGCGUAAAGGGCUCGUAGGUGGUUGAUCGCGUCGGAAGUGUAAUCUUGGGGCUUAACCCUGAGCGUGCUUUCGAUACGGGUUGACUUGAGGAAGGUAGGGGAGAAUGGAAUUCCUGGUGGAGCGGUGGAAUGCGCAGAUAUCAGGAGGAACACCAGUGGCGAAGGCGGUUCUCUGGGCCUUUCCUGACGCUGAGGAGCGAAAGCGUGGGGAGCGAACAGGCUUAGAUACCCUGGUAGUCCACGCUGUAAACGGUGGGUACUAGGUGUGGGGUCCAUUCCACGGGUUCCGUGCCGUAGCUAACGCUUUAAGUACCCCGCCUGGGGAGUACGGCCGCAAGGCUAAAACUCAAAGGAAUUGACGGGGCCCCGCACAAGCGGCGGAGCAUGCGGAUUAAUUCGAUGCAACGCGUAGAACCUUACCUGGGUUUGACAUGGAUCGGGAGUGCUCAGAGAUGGGUGUGCCUCUUUUGGGGUCGGUUCACAGGUGGUGCAUGGCUGUCGUCAGCUCGUGUCGUGAGAUGUUGGGUUAAGUCCCGCAACGAGCGCAACCCUUGUUCACUGUUGCCAGCACGUUAUGGUGGGGACUCAGUGGAGACCGCCGGGGUCAACUCGGAGGAAGGUGGGGAUGACGUCAAGUCAUCAUGCCCCUUAUGUCCAGGGCUUCACGCAUGCUACAAUGGCUGGUACAGAGAGUGGCGAGCCUGUGAGGGUGAGCGAAUCUCGGAAAGCCGGUCUCAGUUCGGAUUGGGGUCUGCAACUCGACCUCAUGAAGUCGGAGUCGCUAGUAAUCGCAGAUCAGCAACGCUGCGGUGAAUACGUUCCCGGG
rnacentral:rRNA from 1 species